UGCUAAGAACCCUGUUUAAAUACAUUAGAGAUAUACUUGAUGUGUGCUCCAAAAUCUUAUAUUCAUUGGUGUGGGCGUGUUGACCCAUGUCAGAGGCUACAACGUCCAGUCGUCCACGAACAGGAGUUGAAACCCUCUCAGCUGGCACACUAUGACAAAUCACAUACAAAGCAUUUGGUCAGUAGAGACAGUGAGCAACAUCGAUGGAUACCUCCAGCCUGAAAACAUCUAAUGGUGCCACAACCUGUCAUUGGUCUGUCAGGUAAUGUUCUGAUAUCACCGCAAUUCAGAAGAACCUGAAGUGCAGAUGAAUGGUUUAGUACUUACACUGAGGGAAUGUGACGACUUCACCCAAAGCAAGGUACUGGAAGAAAGAAAAUGAUGUAUGGCUACAAGACUUGUGUCCAGAAGAGCAGAAGAGGAGUGGGGCUUGACCCAGACAAUCCUAUGUUUGUAACAAAGGAAACUCUUCAUAGUGCCUUCAGCUCCAUAGGUGUUCUGCUACUGAUAGAAUGUGCAGUGAAAUCAACGAAUAGGGAUUAACACCCAUAAACCACUGGAAGCACCAGGAGUGCAGUCUGUGUCAGCUGAAUAUCAUGUUUGCAUUAGUUAUCCUUUCCAAAUAUGACUGACUAUUUCUGUCAGUGUAAGAAUCCAUAAGACCUUUGGAACAUUGCCACGGUGUGGGCGUUUCUCUCUCAGGCUGAUACAGAUAGACUCCUCCAUGCUUUUAUUACAAGCAAGCUUGACUACUAUAAGGCUCUCCUGUCUGGUCUACCUAAGAAAGCCAUUGGUCAACUGCAGAACAUACAGAAUGGUGCAGCACGGGUACUGACCAAGACCAGACAGAGAGCACACAUUACACCAGUUUUAAGAUCUCUGCCUGUGAGUUUUAGAAUUAUUCUAUUGGUUGUAAAUCAAUCCAUGAUUGUGCACCCCAAUAGAUGCCAGACAUGCUUUUAAAGUUAUGUGCCCAGUAGGUCCCUCAGGUAUUCUGGCACUGGCCUUUAACUAUCCCAAAGCAAAACUGUUGACAUUUUUAAAAGAGAUCUUAAAACACACAUUUUUAGCUUGCUUUUCCUUAGGGUGCAUUUUAGUCGUUCAGUUUCUUAUUGUUAUUCUUUUGUUUUUUUAUCCUCUUAUGUUUGUUGUGUAGUAAAUAUUUCAGUUUUUAUUUUCAUUGUUUUUAUUAUUUUGUUGCAAUGAAUUACAUUGUGUUCCUGUGUGAAAUGUGCUGUAUAAAUAAAGCUUGAUUUGAUUUGAUAUUACCUUGCAUUAGGCCUAUAUUAUGAAUGAAAAAUAAAUAUGUACAUUCUCUCUGCUCGACAAGACUAGGUUUACAACAUUUGUUAUAUACAUAUGUAUGCAAGCACAUGUUUUAUUAACUAAAAAUACAUAUCCUUUUGGACAUGUUCGGCAGCUGAUUUUCCAGGUGAUUUCCCCAGUGUCAAGUUACUGUAAGUAGAAAA